AUGCCAGAAUUCCGCUCUUUGAUCACACGGACAUGGCGAAGGGGACCCCAUUCAGCAAGCAUCUGAUACAAGUCUUCCUCAGUUGUCUUCUGAGAUAGACCUUUCACAACAACAGUUGCAGAUGGUGCCACUGUGUAGUUGCCUCGUUGACGCUUCUCCUCAUGAUCUCUCCACCUUUCAGUCCUCUCAUGUUGACUUUCAUUGUAGUUGUUUUCCCGUUGACUUCGCCCAUGACUCCGACCUCGAGGGGACCUUGAUCUAAGACGAUCAUCACGUCCACGAGAACGAGAUCGUUCAUGCCGUUUAUGUGGACUCUUAUCUCUUUCCCAACUCAAACCUCUCUUAUUACGUUCUCGAUCACGAGACUCAUGCUUCCUCCAAUUUCCCUCUCUCUUACUGCUUCCCUCAUAGUCUGAAUCAUA
rnacentral:misc_RNA from 1 species